rnacentral:rRNA from 1 species
CAGCCGCCGCGGUAAUACGUAGGGUGCGAGCGUUAAUCGGAUUUACUGGGCGUAAAGCGUGCGCAGGCGGCCCGUUAAGACAGGUGUGAAAUCCCUGGGCUCAACCUAGGAAUUGCGCUUGUGACUGGCGGGCUCGAGUACGGUAGAGGGGGGUGGAAUUCCUGGUGUAGCAGUGAAAUGCGUAGAGAUCAGGAGGAACACCGAUGGCGAAGGCAGCCCCCUGGGCCUGUACUGACGCCCAUGCACGAAAGCGUGGGGAGCAAACAGGAUUAGAUACCCUGGUAGUCCACGCCCUAAACGAUGGGUACUAGCCGUUUGGUGCGCGAUAGCGCUGAGUGGCGAAGCUAACGCGUGAAGUACCCCGCCUGGGGAGUACGGCCGCAAGGUUGAAACUUAAAGGAAUUGGCGGG